AAAAUAAUUAAUUUUUGAGUUCAAAUUUGUUUUGAAAAUCAAGAAUUUGCUUGAAUAAAAAAUUUUAAAAAUCGAUGUGAGUAAAAGAGUUGGCAAGACUUGACCAGGGAGAUGAGUGGGAGAAAGGUCGUGCAGCUGGUGAUACGAGUGCGGCUGCACCCAAACUAACCGUAUGCCGGGGAGAAUACAGAGACAAGAGACAAGAUAUGACGAGAGAGAAAAAAAUAUAAAAAUAUAUAAUAUUUGUUUGAAUAAACAAGUAGCAAUAAUCAAUUAAUUCGGAACAAGUUUUAAUCAGUGAUUAAUUAUAAUUGAUAUGAUGGCAAUGAUGAGUGUAAAUCCCCAGGAGAAUUCGGAAGUCCUUGGUUAGAUACUUGAGACGAUCAAUAUUCUGAAGAUUUACUUGAUAAACAUGACGCCGAUGAUAGCGUGUCGUUAUCAGAUGAGUUAAAGUCAAUGACGUAUAUGAUGGCAAUUGGUUGACACCUGCGGGUCUUCCGCGACAAAAAAACAUUCAUUUCUGGCAUACUAAUAUAUAUUUAUAUAUGUGCAACAUAAUAUCCGUAUACAGCUAUUUAAUUUUACAAUCAUGCAGACAGGGUACCUUGAACCAUCAGGUUUUACUUCAAUGUGAUUAUAUUGCCCUGAGAUUCCAGUCGGCGGAAUGAAAUGCGCCUCGAGCUAAAAUGUUUACAGACUCAACAAUGAUAUACAUAUAUAUAUUUAUAUACAUAUAUAUAUAUGUUGUGUAUUUAAGUGUAUAUGUACGUAAACGAGCCGUCAAUACAAAGUUACCAGCUGGUAACGGAACAAACAAGUAGAGGUGAGAAAAGAGACAAGAGAAGAAGCUGAAGAGAAACUGUAGUCGAUUGAAUUUGUCGUAGUCGUUGUCAUCGUCGUCGUCGUCGUUGUCGGCUUAUAGAUAUAGAUAUAUAUUUAUAAUAUACGACUUGACGAUGAGUAGAGUGCGAGUAUUCCUCGCGACCUACUCCAAGAGAAAUUUACCGACAAGAUGAGAAGAUGAGACUUAACUUUUGACACUCUUAUCGAAAUACCGAAGCAUUGAAUAGUAAUAAUAAAGAUAGUAGACAUAAUAACGACACAGCAAGAGAAAGAGAUGAAGAAUGAGGACGAUGAACUUAACUGCCGUGGAAUGCAUCGUCAUUGACCCUGACCUUAGAAAAUAUUUCUUAUUAUUUUAUUAACGUAAAUAAAAUUAUUAUUUACAAUAUAUAUAUACAUAUAUACAUAU